rnacentral:rRNA from 1 species
AUUGAACGCUGGCGGCAGGCCUAACACAUGCAAGUCGAACGAGUGGCGGACGGGUGAGUAAUGUCUGGGAAACUGCCUGAUGGAGGGGGAUAACUACUGGAAACGGUAGCUAAUACCGCAUACCAUCGGAUGUGCCCAGAUGGGAUUAGCUAGUAGGUGGGGUAAAGGCUCACCUAGGCGACGAUCCCUAGCUGGUCUGAGAGGAUGACCAGCCAAACUGGGACUGAGAAACCGGUCCAAACCCCAAGGGAGGCAGGAGUGGGGAAUAGUUGCAAAUGGGCGAAAGGCCUAAGUCGCCAUGGCGGGGGUAUGGAGAAGGCCUUUGGGGUUGAAAGGUCCUUUCGGCGGGAGGCGUUACCCGCAGAAGAAGCACCGGCUAACUCCGUGCCAGCAGCCGCGGUAAUUC